CCACACAUGUCGUUGUAUUCUAUCUAUAAAUUUCGGAAUUCAUAAUAGCUGCAGUCACGUGAACUCUACAUCGUUAAGACAUUACCACUAACGACUUGUAAUUACCAAGAAGAAACUACUCACCUCUGGCAGUUCAUCAGGUAUCGUUCCGUGUCAGAGGGUGACAAGGUCUGGCUAGCGAGGGCUGCACAGCGCAAGUAUUGAUUGCGAAGGGAGGCACCGUUACGACCUCUACAACGUAGUGAAAAACUCGGAAAACCCCGCGAAAAUUGAAGAUGGCGCUGGUUUGUUAGAACGAGGACAGCAUUGAAGGUAAUGGAAAUUUAGAUACAUCAACAUCAGUGAACAUAUGCUAUUUAUUAUAUGAGUAUUAAUUGAUAAAA